rnacentral:misc_RNA from 1 species
UCUCCGUUGGUGAACCAGCGGAGGGAUCAUUGUCGAGUUUAUAACUCCCAAACCCUAUGUGAACUUACCACUUGUUGCUUCGGCGCGCGCUUCGGCGCCGCCGAGGACACUUAAACUCUUUGUUUUUAUAAGCAUUUCUGAGUGGCCGAAAGGCAAAAUACAAAUGAAUCAAAACUUUCAACAACGGAUCUCUUGGUUCUG